GGUGAUAUAACCUAAAAUCCUUAGAAUACAGAGUCUGUCCAUUCGGGCCGGAUUCCCUUAAAAUAGCAUGUGUGUGUGUGUCAUGAGGGAGAGUGAGCAGAAAAAAUAAGUUUACUCGUCGUUUCGUAGUGUUUUUGGCUAAAAAAGAUAUGAAAAGAAUAAGAUGCCGUCUUACUGCAUACGGAAGUGUUCCAAUUCAUGGAAAAUAGGUUAUUCAAUUCGUUUCCCAAAAAAUUUGAAACGAAAAAGCAAUGGAUUAUUAAUAUUGGUAGAAAUGAUUUUGACUUCCCAAGUAGCAGAAUGACGUCAAUAAGACGUCUUCUGACGUCACUCUGCUACCUGGGUUCUCUAAAAUGUUUUAUAUACGAGGUAUAUUUUCUACCAGAGAUGUAGGAAAAACCAUGUAGUCCCAACAAUUUUUUUGGAAAAUAAAUCAAAUAAAAAUAUAAAUAGUGCCUCUUUAGAUGCAAAUGACAUUGAUUCUGCUUGUUUA